GCGGAUAUGGUGGAAUUGGUAGACACGCAGCCUUGAGGGGGCUGUGCUUAACAGCGUGAGAGUUCGAGUCUCUCUAUCCGCACCA
rnacentral:tRNA from 1 species